AUGAAGCUGGAAUUGCUAGUAAUGGCAGGUCAGCAUACUGCCGUGAAUACGUUCCCGGGCCUUGUACACACCGCCCGUCACACCAUGAGAGUCGGGAACACCCGAAGUCCGUAGCCUAACCGCAAGGGGGGCGCGGCCGAAGGUGGGUUCGAUAAUUGGGUGAAGUCGUAACAAGGUAAC
rnacentral:rRNA from 1 species